AUUGAACGCUGGCGGCAUGCUUUACACAUGCAAGUCGAACGGUAACAGGGAGCUUGCUCCGCUGACGAGUGGCGAACGGGUGAGUAAUGCGUCGGAACGUGCCGAGUAGUGGGGGAUAACGCAUCGAAAGGUGUGCUAAUACCGCAUACGUACUGAGGUAGAAAGUGGGGGACCUUCGGGCCUCACGCUAUUCGAGCGGCCGACGUCUGAUUAGCUAGUUGGUGAGGUAAAGGCUCACCAAGGCGACGAUCAGUAGCGGGUCUGAGAGGAUGAUCCGCCACACUGGGACUGAGACACGGCCCAGACUCCUACGGGAGGCAGCAGUGGGGAAUUUUGGACAAUGGGCGCAAGCCUGAUCCAGCCAUGCCGCGUGUCUGAAGAAGGCCUUCGGGUUGUAAAGGACUUUUGUCCGGGAGCAAAUACCCAGUGCUAAUAACACUGGGGGCUGAGAGUACCGGAAGAAUAAGCACCGGCUAACUACGUGCCAGCCGCCGCAGUAAUAC
rnacentral:rRNA from 1 species